UCCUUUAGUUUUUGUGUAGUUACAAAACAAUCAUACUCAUGCAGGCACAACAAAAAGCAAAAAGAACAUGACUCAAGCGGGUGUUAGCUCUGUGUAGCUGUUAUCAUUGUGAGACAUCUCAUCCAUUGAUUCAGAAAAAUUUUCUGCAUCUACUAUGCAGGUCUUGGCUCAGAACUUUGAGGGAUCAGAAGGAAGGUGGAAGUGAUGUCUCUGCUUGAGCCCACGAUGGACCUGUGUGGAGAUGAAAGCUCUCUGCCACACGGGAGAUCUCAGCGCAGCCAGAGAGCCAUUGCCGGACAAGGACGAGCCCACGGAAUCAUUGCUCCUGUGGCACCUGUGGCCCGGGGCAGGCACUGCACGGCACGGCACGUUCCCAAGCGGACUGAGUCAGGAGAGGCUUCCCGGAGCGGGAGAAGGGAGCCCUGUGGCUGUGCUGAUGGAAGCACACAGCAAGGUUAUUAAGGAAAAGAGGAGAAAGGAAAGAGACAUCUGCACAGACACAGACGAGAGCUGCCGACUUCUGACCUUUAGGGCUGUAAAGUAAUAUGUGUUAUUUUAAGCCACCGUAUUUGUGGCAAUUUGUUAUGGAAGCAUUAGAAACUGCAUAUAGUUAUCUCAAAGUAAACAUCAAGACGAGAAUUCCUGCGCGGCAAGGCAGCUGAACCUCAAGCUGGGACUCCCCUCCCUGGACUCGCAUCUGCUGGGGAAUAGGGUUCUCGCUUCUUGUGGUGCUGGGCUGUCCAAUUUAAAGACAAGAAAGCAACUAUAGAGCAGGAGAGUGUUUUGUAGCAAAGGAAGACCAAGCCUCAGGGCUCCUGUUCAGCCCUGUGAUUUCAUCCUCCCUUCCUCACCCCUGAUGGGCCACGUCCUGGGAGGGCCACUCCACCCACCUCCCCUUCUCCCUGUCAUUCACCUGUCCAGUCUGCACACAUCAUUGCACUGAUUGUCUUGUGAUGUCAUCAGGCUUGGCGGCUCUAUUCUCACCAGUUAACUUGAUUUCAACCAUAGAGGCAUAGUCGACAUAGCCUAUUACAUUAGUUUCAGGUGUGUAACCCAAUGAUCCCACGUUUGUAUAUAGAUUGCAAAGUGAUCACUGCAGUAAAUCCAGUUAACCUACACCCCGGGAUAGUUGCGUCAUCCACAACACACGCCGUGUGCUGUGCAGAGUCCAGGAAGAUUGCGUGCAGCGGUGGGAGAAGGCUUGCAGCUCCCAGGCUGGAGAACACCGUUCUUUCCUCCGCUUGCGUUCUCGUGCCAGUCCCUCCUGCCAGCCCAGACCCUGCCAGCCUCUGCCUGUGGCACACCCUGCAUGCGUCUGUUUGAAGUGACAUAGCUCUCACCUGGCUGUUCAGCUUGCAGCCUCCGCCUCUCACUCCCCCUGCUCAGUAGAACACACCUUGUCUCAGGCUCUGUCCUCUUUAU